GAUGAAGAAGCAGCGAAAUGCGAUAAGUAGUGUGAAUUGCAGAAUUCAGUGAAUCAUCGAAUCUUUGAACGCACAUUGCGCCCUUUGGUAUUCCAAAGGGCAUGCCUGUUCGAGCGUCAUUUGUACCCUCAAGCUUUGCUUGGUGUUGGGCGUCUUGUCUCUAGCUUUGCUGGAGACUCGCCUUAAAGUAAUUGGCAGCCGGCCUACUGGUUUCGGAGCGCAGCACAAGUCGCACUCUCUAUCAGCAAAGGUCUAGCAUCCAUUAAGCCUUUUUUUUCAACUUUUGACCUCGGAUCAGGUAGGGAUACCCGCUGAACUUAAGCAUAUCAAUAAGCGGAGGA
rnacentral:misc_RNA from 1 species